UACGUACUCCCUUCGUCCGAAAAUACUUAUCAUCAAAAUAGAUGAAAAUAGAUGUAUCUAGAACUAAAAUACAUCUAGAUACAUCUACUUUUAUCCAUUUUGAUGACAAGUAUUUCCGACGAAGGGAGUACAUG
rfam:Triticum urartu cultivar G1812 contig703354, whole genome shotgun sequence.